rnacentral:rRNA from 1 species
AACGAACGCUGGCGGCAGGCUUAACACAUGCAAGUCGAACGGGCGUAGCAAUACGUCAGUGGCAGACGGGUGAGUAACGCGUGGGAACGUACCCUUUGGUUCGGAAUAACCCAGGGAAACUUGGGCUAAUACUGGAUAAGCCCCUGAGCAAUCAGGGUGGAAAGAUUUAUCGCCGAAGGAGCGGCCCGCGUCUGAUUAGCUGGUUGGUGGGGUAAUAGCUCACCAAGGCGACGAUCGGUAGCUGGUCUGAGAGGAUGAUCAGCCACACUGGGACUGAGAUACGGCCCAGACUCCUACGGGAGGCAGCAGUGGGGAAUAUUGGACAAUGGGCGCAAGCCUGAUCCAGCCAUGCCGCGUGGGUGAUGAAGGCCUGAGGGUUGUAAAGCCCUUUCGGCGGGGAAGAUAAUGACGGUACCCGCAGAAGAAGCUCCGGCUAACUUCGUGCCAGCCGCCGCGGUAAGAC